rnacentral:sRNA from 1 species
AGUCAUCAUUAUGCAGAUACUAUUGUCUUUCGAGCAUACAUUUUUUUUAUAUAUUUCCAUACAGAGGAGGAAAGAAAGCAGUCUGCAGCCCGAACAGUUAAAAAACCAGAGGAGUCCGACGAUGCCGUCGACACCACCAAGCCUAUGCCAAGGAAAUCUAGUAGAAAGGGAAAGUCUGUUGGCUCUGCAC